rnacentral:rRNA from 2 species
GGUUAAGCGACUAAGCGUACACGGUGGAUGCCCUGGCAGUCAGAGGCGAUGAAGGACGUGCUAAUCUGCGAUAAGCGUCGGUAAGGUGAUAUGAACCGUUAUAACCGGCGAUUUCCGAAUGGGGAAACCCAGUGUGAUUCGUCA